GUUAGCCUUUUUUGAUUGUGACAGACCACCUGAGGAAAACAUCUUAAUGGAGGACAGAUUUAUUUUGACUCACAGUUUUACAGGUUUCAGUCCACAAUCCUGGCUGCAUUGUUUCUGGGCCUGUCGUGAGGCAGUACAUCAUGGUGGAAGGUGUGACAAAGGAAAGCUGCUCACCUCAUGGCAGCCAGGAAGCCGAGAGAAAAGAAGGGGCUGGGCACAAGAUACACUCUUCCAGCACAUGCCCCCAGUGACCUGCUUUCUCCAACUAGGUCCCACCUCGAGCAGUGUCCACCACCUCCCAGUAAUGUCCUCAGCUACGCACCCAUCAAUGAUAACUCAUUAGAUUAGAGUCAGAGUGCUCAUGAUUUAAUCACUUCCAGAGAGCCCCCACCUCUAAACGUUGCUGCACUAGAGACCACACCUUUAACACGCAAGUCUGUAGGAUACAUUACAGGUCCAAAUCACAACAACAACAACAACAACAAAAAAGAAAACAAUUUCAAGAAUAGAAAAGUGUUCAAGAUUAGAAAAUAACUAUAGUCAACUUUCACUUAAUGACAGAGACAAAUUUUGAGAAAUGCUCAUUAGAUGAUUUUCUCAUUGUGCAAACAUCAUAGAGUGUCAUUAGACAAAUAGAAUAUUAUAGGUCAGUCACUUCACAUGUCCUCUUGAUGCCAUCAAGAGCCACAGUAU
rnacentral:lncRNA from 1 species